rnacentral:lncRNA from 1 species
AUAAAGGGGGAUUUGUUUUGGACGAAAAUUGAAAAGAAAACAGAUUGUAAAACGUUUUUGGAUGAAAAUGAUGGAUAAAAGGCUAGUUAGGAGGUUCUUCUCCACACAUGACACACUCGCAAACAAAAUGAUUUUCAGUUGUUCUUUCAAUAAAUUAUGAAACUCAACACCUCAAGUUAAUUAGAUACGCUUAAAUUAACCUUCAAGUUCUCCUUAAGUUAAUGAAUUGGAUGG